CAGCCGCCACGGAAUACGUAGGGUGCGAGCGUUAAUCGGAAUUACUGGGCGUAAAGCGCACGUAGGCGGUUAUUCAAGUCAGAGGUGAAAGCCCGGGGCUCAACCCCGGAACUGCCUUUGAAACUAGAUGACUGGAAUCUUGGAGAGGUCAGUGGAAUUCCGAGUGUAGAGGUGAAAUUCGUAGAUAUUCGGAAGAACACCAGUGGCGAAGGCGACUGACUGGACAAGUAUUGACGCUGAGGAGCGAAAGCGUGGGGAGCGAACAGGAUUAGAUACCCCUGUAGUCCCUGUCUCUUAUACC
rnacentral:rRNA from 1 species